CGCAGUGUAGCUUAACGGUAAAGCCCCUGGCUCAUAACCAGGUCUAUACGGGUUCGAGUCCCGUCGCUGCCA
rnacentral:tRNA from 1 species